UGUUCAUUUAAAAGGAGGAGUCAAUGCAAAACUCAGAUAUCUUCCACCUCUACUUAUCUGACUGCAGAGAGGAGGACAGAGAACAGUGGACACACAGUUUAACAUGAUGGACUAUAGGACAGGACUGCUGCUUUUAACUAUCUGCUGGGCAGGUGUUGAUGGUCAGACUCUGACUCAGUCUGAACCAGUGAUUAAAAGGCCUGGAGAAUCUCACAGACUGACCUGUACAGUCUCUGGAUUUUCGCUUAGUAGCUACUGGAUGCACUGGAUCAGACAGGCUCCUGGAAAAGGACUGGAGUGGAUCGCUGCUGAACCCAAUAGUGGCAGCAAAUACUACUCUCAGUCAGUUCAAGGCCGGUUUACUACCUCCAGAGACAACAGCAGACAGCAGCUGUAUCUGCAGAUGAACAGUCUGAAGACUGAAGAUUCUGCUGUUUAUUAUUGUGCUCGAGACACACAGUGACUGGAGUUGGUUGAACAGCUGUACA